rnacentral:rRNA from 1 species
UACGUAGGGGGCAAGCGUUGUCCGGAUUUAUUGGGCGUAAAGAGCGUGUAGGCGGCUUGGUAGGUCCGCUGUGAAAACUCGAGGCUCAACCUCGAGAUGUCGGCGGAAACCAUCUGGCUAGAGUCCGGAAGAGGAGAGUGGAAUUCCUGGUGUAGCGGUGAAAUGCGCAGAUAUCGGGAGGAACACCUAUGGCGAAGGCAGCUCGCUGGGACGUUACUGACGCUGAGGAGCGAAAGCAUGGGGAGCGAACAGG